UAUGCUCGUUCAUGUGCACACAUGUGUAAGC
rnacentral:piRNA from 1 species